UAACUUUGCUUGUACCUCUUGAGCACAAGGUAUAGAAUUAAGAUCUGGAUUUGAGAUAGAACAUAGAAGAUUUCUCUCAGGGAAGAACUACCACUAUGCUAGCCACCAGCCUGCUGGGAGUAGCCAUUGCCUCCAUCUGUCUUGGAACGAGCAUGGCCCAGAAGGUAGCUCAAGAUCAGACUGCAAUUUCUGUGAUGGAGAAGGAGGCUGUAACUUUUAACUGUACGUAUGAAAUCAGUGAUGAUAUUUAUUACUUAUUUUGGUACAAACAACCACCACGUGGGAAACCAACUUACCUUAUUCGUCAGGACUCUUACAAUGAGCAAAACGCAACGGAGGGUCGCUAUUCCCUCAACUUCCAGAAGGCAUCCAGUUCCAUCCAGCUCACCAUCACAGCCUCACAGCUCAUGGAUGCAGCAGUGUAUUUCUGUGCCCUGGAAGAGGCCACAGUGAGAGGACUGCCUGUGGGAGUCCCACAAAAACCUCAAGAAGAGCUAGGGCCUCUGGGGGGAGACCCCACCACAGACAGGGAGGAGCAGUUGUGCCAGUUUGAUGAUGAGAAGUGGUCAAGGCCAUAA